rnacentral:lncRNA from 1 species
UUCCCCAUAGAAGCCGCGGCAACCUCUUCCCAUGCUCGUCAAAAAAUGGAGCCGACGACGCUGCUGAAGCUUGGGGUAAACCCUUCUUCUCCUUCCUCUCUUCCUUCCCCUUUUUUCCAUGGCUUCGUGCACCCUUGCCGGCCUUCAGGAUCGUCAAAAAAUCUACGAAAAAUGGAACCCCUAUUUUGCUCUGUUUCAAUCGGACCUUUUUCUCUCUUUUUCGGCCACCGGUGCCACCAUUUGCGACGUCUCACCCCUAGGAUAGGAUCCUCACCUCUC